rnacentral:rRNA from 1 species
CCGCGAUUCGCCCUUCGGGGUGCACCAGGCGCGAAAACUUUACAAUGCCGGCAACGGCGAUAAGGGAACCUCGAGUGCCAGGUUACAAAUCUGGCUGUCGUGAUGCCUAAAAAGCAUUGCAUAGCAAGGGCCGGGCAAGACCGGUGCCAGCCGCCGCGGUAACACCGGCGGCUCGAGUGGUAACCGUUAUUAUUGGGUCUAAAGGGUCUGUAGCCGGCCGGGUAAGUCUCUUGGGAAAUCUGGCAGCUUAACUGUCAGGCUUUCAGGAGAUACUGCCUGGCUCGAGGCCGGGAGAGGUGAGAGGUACCUCAGGGGUAGGGGUGAAAUCUUGUAAUCCUUGAAGGACCACCAGUGGCGAAGGCGUCUCACCAGAACGGACCUGACGGCAAGGGACGAAAGCUAGGGGCACGAACCGGAUUAGAUACCCGGGUAGUCCUAGCCGUAAACGAUACUCGCUAGGUGUCGGCCACGGUGCGACCGUGGUCGGUGCCGUAGGGAAGCCGUGAAGCGAGCCACCUGGGAAGUACGGCCGCAAGGCUGAAACUUAAAGGAAUUGGCGGGGGAGCAC